CUCCGACGACGGCCUCUAGGGUUAAAACGCCGCCCUAUGAUGACCGGAACGAUGUCGUUUUGGGCUCCGCCGCCGUAUGACAUCCCCAAAAUUUGGAAACGGUGUCGUUUUGGAUUUACGCCCAACCGAUGACUGCAGCUUACAGCCCAAGUCACAUUGCCGUUUCCUACUCUUCAUUCCCUUUCCUGCUGAUCACUCCUGGGGUGCCGUUCAGUAAUACUCUCGAAUCUGUACUGUCUGCCAGCUGACACUUUUUUCAGUAAAUAAUAUAAUGGCAUAUGCAGAUCAUCAUAUGGCACAAAUGUGCCACAUUUCCGGAUUGCAUUUCCUUGAGGAUAACGAUUUUUUCGCUGCUUUGGGAGCUUUUGGGAAUGCUUGUAAAUUAGACCCUGUAAAUGGUCUGUUCAUGCAGUCUUUCUGAAACGCUGCUGUGGCUUACAAUAUCAGCCGCUUCCCCACCAUGGAUGUUUUGCUUUAUGAUCAGGCUCCCGAACCUUUUUCUGUUGCUGCAGUGCCUUCUUUCAUUGAAGGACUGACAUCGUAUCUUCAGGGGGACUACUUGACAAGCAUUCGUUUGCUUACCACCGCCAAGCUGCAAGAUCGCACCGGUGCUGAGCUAGUUUUCUACAUUCGCACAGCUGCUCAGUAUCACUUGGCUGCUAUUGUGAGGGCUAAUGUGGCUUGAGUUCUGAGAAUCAAGAUAAUGAGCACCUGCUGCCUGCUGAAGGGUAUAAACUUUUACGUACCAACAAGUAGCCUGCAGCAUUUCAACCAUACAA